AAAUUUAAAUAAUAAACUAGGAUUAGAUACCCUAUUAUUUUAAAUGUUAAUUAUAUUUACCAGGGUACUAUUAGUUAAGGUCUUUAAACCCAAAGAAUUUGGCGGUAUCUCAUUCCAUUCAGAGGAACCUACCCCGUGAUUGAUAAUACACGAUUUACUCUACUUAAUUUAUUUGUUUGUAUAUCUCCGUUAUCAGAGAAUCUUUUUAGAGUUAUAAUUCUCAAGAUUUAUAAUUAUAAAAUAUUUCAGGUCAAGGUGCAGCUUAUAGUUAAGAGGAGGUGGGUUACAAUAGGUUUUUGUUUAUAACGGAUUUGAUGGUGAAAUACUAUUAAUGAAGGUGGAUUUGAUAGUAAUUUAAUUUAUUUAAUUUAACUGAUACUGGCUCUGAGGUGUGUACACAUCGCCCGUCGCUCUCAUUAUUGAUUAUUCUAUUUUAUUAUUUUAAGGUAGCUUCAAUUAUAGAUGAGAUAAGUCGUAACAUAGUAGAUGUACUGGAAAGUGUAUCUAGUAAGAGUUU
rnacentral:rRNA from 1 species